rnacentral:rRNA from 1 species
AGAGUUUGAUCCUGGCUCAGGAUGAACGCUAGCUACAGGCUUAACACAUGCAAGUCGAGGGGCAGCAUGAAGUUUGCUUGCAAACUUGAUGGCGACCGGCGCACGGGUGAGUAACGCGUAUCCAACCUUCCCUAUACUAGAGGAUAGCCCGGCGAAAGUCGGAUUAAUACUCUAUGUUCUUCGUAGAAGACAUCUGAAAUGAAGCAAAGGUUUACCGGUAUAGGAUGGGGAUGCGUCUGAUUAGGUUGUUGGCGGGUAACGGCCCACCAAGCCCACGAUCAGUAGGGGUUCUGAGAGGAAGGUCCCCCACAUUGGAACUGAGACACGGUCCAAACUCCUACGGGAGGCAGCAGUGAGGAAUAUUGGUCAAUGGACGAGAGUCUGAACCAGCCAAGUAGCGUGCAGGAUGACGGCCCUAUGGGUUGUAAACUGCUUUUAUACAGGGAUAAAGUGACGUACGUGUACGUUUUUGUAGGUACUGUAUGAAUAAGGACCGGCUAAUUCCGUGCCAGCCGCAGC